CGUGCACGCUGGCGGUAGGCCUAACACAUGCAAGUCGAACGGCAGCACAGUAAGAGCUUGCUCUUACGGGUGGCGAGUGGCGGACGGGUGAGGAAUACAUCGGAAUCUACUUUUUCGUGGGGGAUAACGUAGGGAAACUUACGCUAAUACCGCAUACGACCUACGGGUGAAAGCAGGGGAUCUUCGGACCUUGCGCGAUUGAAUGAGCCGAUGUCGGAUUAGCUAGUUGGCGGGGUAAAGGCCCACCAAGGCGACGAUCCGUAGCUGGUCUGAGAGGAUGAUUAGCCACACUGGAACUGAGACACGGUCCCGACUCCUACGGGAGGCAGCAGUGGGGAAUUUUGGACAAUGGGCGGAAGCCUGAUCCAGCCAUACCGCGUGGGCGAAGAAGGCCUUCGGGUUGUUAAGCCCUUUUGUUGUGAAAGAAAAGCAGCAGGUUAAUACCCCGCUGUUCUGACGGUACCCAAAGAAUAAGCACCGGCUAACUUCGUG
rnacentral:rRNA from 1 species